GCGUUCUUAGCUCAGAUGGUAGAGCACCACCUUGACUUGGUGGGGGUCAAUGGUUCAAAUCCAUUAGAACGCACUA
rnacentral:tRNA from 1 species